rnacentral:rRNA from 1 species
AGGAUGAACGCUGGCGGCGUGCCUAAUACAUGCAAGUCGAGCGAAUGGAUUAAGAGCUUGCUCUUAUGAAGUUAGCGGCGGACGGGUGAGUAACACGUGGGUAACCUGCCCAUAAGACUGGGAUAACUCCGGGAAACCGGGGCUAAUACCGGAUAACAUUUUGAACUGCAUGGUUCGAAAUUGAAAGGCGGCUUCGGCUGUCACUUAUGGAUGGACCCGCGUCGCAUUAGCUAGUUGGUGAGGUAACGGCUCACCAAGGCAACGAUGCGUAGCCGACCUGAGAGGGUGAUCGGCCACACUGGGACUGAGACACGGCCCAGACUCCUACGGGAGGCAGCAGUAGGGAAUCUUCCGCAAUGGACGAAAGUCUGACGGAGCAACGCCGCGUGAGUGAUGAAGGCUUUCGGGUCGUAAAACUCUGUUGUUAGGGAAGAACAAGUGCUAGUUGAAUAAGCUGGCACCUUGACGGUACCUAACCAGAAAGCCACGGCUAACUACGUGCCAGCAGCCGCGGUAAUACGUAGGUGGCAAGCGUUAUCCGGAAUUAUUGGGCGUAAAGCGCGCGCAGGUGGUUUCUUAAGUCUGAUGUGAAAGCCCACGGCUCAACCGUGGAGGGUCAUUGGAAACUGGGAGACUUGAGUGCAGAAGAGGAAAGUGGAAUUCCAUGUGUAGCGGUGAAAUGCGUAGAGAUAUGGAGGAACACCAGUGGCGAAGGCGACUUUCUGGU